rnacentral:rRNA from 1 species
CCUACGGGUGGCAGCAGUGAGGAAUCUUCGUCAAUGGACGAAAGCCUGAACCAGCCAAGUAGCGUGAGGGAUGACUGCCCUACGUGUUAUAAACUUCUUUUAUAAAGGAAUAAAGAACGGCACGUACUCCUUGUUGUCUGUCCUUUUUUAAUAAGGAUCCGCUAACUCCGUGCCAGCCGCCGAGGUAGUACGGAGGAUGCGAGCGUUCUCCGGAUUUAUUGGGUUGACAGGGAGCGGAGGUGGGUUGUUAAGUCAGUUGUGAAAGUUUGCGGCUCAACCGGCGAAUGGCAAUUGAUACUGGGAGACUUGAGUACAGUGGAGGAAGGCGGAAUUCGUGGUGUAGCGGUGAAAUGCUUAGAUAUAACGAAGAACUCCGAUGGCGAAGGCAGCUUACUAGACUGCCACUGACAUUGAGGCUCGAAAGUGUGGGUAUCAAACAGGAUUAGAUACCCUAGUAGUC